rnacentral:ribozyme from 1 species
GCCGGACGCAUUCUGGCACUGUAAUGCAGCCGAAGCCGGUUCCGAGCCCGGAAAUGCAGAGGACAGA